CUUUGUGUGAUGUAUCUUGGUCAAAUCUGGGUGAAAUCCUUUCCAAGAUUACUUCACAAAAUGCUUAUAAAUGGUACCUAAAUUAAGUUAAAAUAUAGUUAUAAAUCCAAAUAAACAUAAAAUCGACUAUAUGUAAGGUACGGACGACUGGCCACGUCUUUCUCCAUCUUCUAGAACCUCCACCGUAGCAAGACCGACCUCUCUCCCUCGUCUGGAACCUCAACGCUGCCAGACCCACGACCGGUCAUGCCUCUCUCCAUUGUCUGGAACCUCGUCUUGUAUCCGAUUUCUCCAAGACUCGUAGCAAUACCAUUUAGAUUUUGUAGGUUCUUGAGUUUGAUGCUAUUGGGGCUAUCGUCCGAUUUCAAUAUGAAGUGUAAGAGAUAGACCUAUUACCAUUUCGUUUGAGAAUUGGAGGAUUUCACCACUGGAGCUAGGGGGAAUGCGGUUGUGAGAAAGUCCAAAAGAUUUGUCAGGAAUUUGACUCUGCUAAACUUAGCUUACUCAAGAUUUCUGAGGUGCAGAGGGCAAUUCUGAAUUUGAACCUGAAGGAACUUAAACCUUUCAAAAAAUGGAGCCAAUGGAUCUUGCUACAUUUGCUACGCCAUUGAAACUAAGCCAAUGUGAGUUCUUAAGUUGUUGAAGACUCACCUUAGAGGAAAAGUUUUGAUGUUCUGUUUUGCAAUUCAUUAGGGAGUAACUAAUUAUUGAAAACCACACAUCUUAAGUUGUUAGGUUUGUUGACAUCUCACACUACAUUUUUAUCAGUAAUGUUGGAAUUUUUUACAAUAAUGUUAGAGUUUGUACUAAUUGUUCAAGCUUCAUUAAUAGUUUUUCUCUUUGCUUUAA